rnacentral:pre_miRNA from 1 species
GGGGACUGCCGGGUGACCCUGGAAAUCCAGAGUGGGUGGGGCCUGUCUGACCGUUUCUAGGCGACCCACUCUUGGUUUCCAGGGUUGCCCUGGAA